GGGGAGGUUCGUCGAGGUCUGCUGCUCGUAGCUCCCGUCGCUCUACUCAGGAUACUGCAGAAGUUGAGCAACUACGAGAAGAGCUUAGGCAACAUCAGGAGCGGCAAAGGGUUCAGGAGGAAUACUUGAGGCAGCAUGCUGCUCAACAAGAAUACUAUGCUACUCAGUUUCAACAACAGCAAGCACUGAUACAACAACUAGCACAAGCCCAAGGGAUACAGUUUCCGAUGGCCCCCCCACCUCCACCUUCCAUACAUUUUCCUUGGCCUUCACCUCCACCUCCACCUACCGAACAUCAGGUAUAUGAGACUCCUCCAGCUACCUUGCCGGCGCAGCAACAAGAUGAUGGGUUAGACUUUGUCAAUACACUCUU